UUAAGCGACUAAGCGUACACGGUGGAUGCCCUGGCAGUCAGAGGCGAUGAAGGACGUGCUAAUCUGCGAUAAGCGUCGGUAAGGUGAUAUGAACCGUUAUAACCGGCGAUUUCCGAAUGGGGAAACCCAGUGUGUUUCGACACACUAUCAUUAACUGAAUCCAUAGGUUAAUGAGGCGAACCGGGGGAACUGAAACAUCUAAGUACCCCGAGGAAAAGAAAUCAACCGAGAUUCCCCCAGUAGCGGCGAGCGAACGGGGAGCAGCCCAGAGCCUGAAUCAGUGUGUGUGUUAGUGGAAGCGUCUGGAAAGGCGCGCGAUACAGGGUGACAGCCCCGUACACAAAAAUGCACAUGCUGUGAGCUCGAUGAGUAGGGCGGGACACGUGGUAUCCUGUCUGAAUAUGGGGGGACCAUCCUCCAAGGCUAAAUACUCCUGACUGACCGAUAGUGAACCAGUACCGUGAGGGAAAGGCGAAAAGAACCCCGGCGAGGGGAGUGAAAAAGAACCUGAAACCGUGUACGUACAAGCAGUGGGAGCACAGAGCAAUCUGUGUGACUGCGUACCUUUUGUAUAAUGGUCAGCGACUUAUAUUCUGUAGCAAGGUUAACCGAAUAGGGGAGCCGAAGGGAAACCGAGUCUUAACUGGGCGUUAAGUUGCAGGGUAUAGACCCGAAACCCGGUGAUCUAGCCAUGGGCAGGUUGAAGGUUGGGUAACACUAACUGGAGGACCGAACCGACUAAUGUUGAAAAAUUAGCGGAUGACUUGUGGCUGGGGGUGAAAGGCCAAUCAAACCGGGAGAUAGCUGGUUCUCCCCGAAAGCUAUUUAGGUAGCGCCUCGUGAAUUCAUCUCCGGGGGUAGAGCACUGUUUCGGCAAGGGGGUCAUCCCGACUUACCAACCCGAUGCAAACUGCGAAUACCGGAGAAUGUUAUCACGGGAGACACACGGCGGGUGCUAACGUCCGUCGUGAAGAGGGAAACAACCCAGACCGCCAGCUAAGGUCCCAAAGUCAUGGUUAAGUGGGAAACGAUGUGGGAAGGCCCAGACAGCCAGGAUGUUGGCUUAGAAGCAGCCAUCAUUUAAAGAAAGCGUAAUAGCUCACUGGUCGAGUCGGCCUGCGCGGAAGAUGUAACGGGGCUAAACCAUGCACCGAAGCUGCGGCAGCGACGCUUAUGCGUUGUUGGGUAGGGGAGCGUUCUGUAAGCCUGCGAAGGUGUGCUGUGAGGCAUGCUGGAGGUAUCAGAAGUGCGAAUGCUGACAUAAGUAACGAUAAAGCGGGUGAAAAGCCCGCUCGCCGGAAGACCAAGGGUUCCUGUCCAACGUUAAUCGGGGCAGGGUGAGUCGACCCCUAAGGCGAGGCCGAAAGGCGUAGUCGAUGGGAAACAGGUUAAUAUUCCUGUACUUGGUGUUACUGCGAAGGGGGGACGGAGAAGGCUAUGUUGGCCGGGCGACGGUUGUCCCGGUUUAAGCAUGUAGGCUGGUUUUCCAGGCAAAUCCGGAAAAUCAAGGCUGAGGCGUGAUGACGAGGCACUACGGUGCUGAAGCAACAAAUGCCCUGCUUCCAGGAAAAGCCUCUAAGCAUCAGGUAACAUCAAAUCGUACCCCAAACCGACACAGGUGGUCAGGUAGAGAAUACCAAGGCGCUUGAGAGAACUCGGGUGAAGGAACUAGGCAAAAUGGUGCCGUAACUUCGGGAGAAGGCACGCUUAUAUGUAGGUGAAGUCCCUCGCGGAUGGAGCUGAAAUCAGUCGAAGAUACCAGCUGGCUGCAACUGUUUAUUAAAAACACAGCACUGUGCAAACACGAAAGUGGACGUAUACGGUGUGACGCCUGCCCGGUGCCGGAAGGUUAAUUGAUGGGGUUAGCGCAAGCGAAGCUCUUGAUCGAAGCCCCGGUAAACGGCGGCCGUAACUAUAACGGUCCUAAGGUAGCGAAAUUCCUUGUCGGGUAAGUUCCGACCUGCACGAAUGGCGUAAUGAUGGCCAGGCUGUCUCCACCCGAGACUCAGUGAAAUUGAACUCGCUGUGAAGAUGCAGUGUACCCGCGGCAAGACGGAAAGACCCCGUGAACCUUUACUAUAGCUUGACACUGAACAUUGAGCCUUGAUGUGUAGGAUAGGUGGGAGGCUUUGAAGUGUGGACGCCAGUCUGCAUGGAGCCGACCUUGAAAUACCACCCUUUAAUGUUUGAUGUUCUAACGUGGACCCGUAAUCCGGGUUGCGGACAGUGUCUGGUGGGUAGUUUGACUGGGGCGGUCUCCUCCUAAAGAGUAACGGAGGAGCACGAAGGUUGGCUAAUCCUGGUCGGACAUCAGGAGGUUAGUGCAAUGGCAUAAGCCAGCUUGACUGCGAGCGUGACGGCGCGAGCAGGUGCGAAAGCAGGUCAUAGUGAUCCGGUGGUUCUGAAUGGAAGGGCCAUCGCUCAACGGAUAAAAGGUACUCCGGGGAUAACAGGCUGAUACCGCCCAAGAGUUCAUAUCGACGGCGGUGUUUGGCACCUCGAUGUCGGCUCAUCACAUCCUGGGGCUGAAGUAGGUCCCAAGGGUAUGGCUGUUCGCCAUUUAAAGUGGUACGCGAGCUGGGUUUAGAACGUCGUGAGACAGUUCGGUCCCUAUCUGCCGUGGGCGCUGGAGAAUUGAGGGGGGCUGUUCCUAGUACGAGAGGACCGGAGUGGACGCAUCACUGGUGUUCGGGUUGUCAUGCCAAUGGCACUGCCCGGUAGCUAAAUGCGGAAGAGAUAAGUGCUGAAAGCAUCUAAGCACGAAACUUGCCCCGAGAUGAGUUCUCCCUGACUCCUUGAGAGUCCUGAAGGAACGUUGAAGACGACGACGUUGAUAGGCCGGGUGUGUAAGCGCAGCGAUGCGUUGAGCUAACCGGUACUAAUGAACCGUGAGGCUUAACCUU
rnacentral:rRNA from 1 species